rnacentral:rRNA from 1 species
GAUGAACGCUGGCGGCGUGCCUAAUACAUGCAAGUCGAGCGAACAGACGAGGAGCUUGCUUCUCUGACGUUAGCGGCGGACGGGUGAGUAACACGUGGAUAACCUACCUAUAAGACUGGGAUAACUUCGGGAAACCGGAGCUAAUACCGGAUAAUAUUUUGAACCGCAUGGUUCAAUAGUGAAAGACGGUUUUGCUUUCACUUAUAGAUGGAUCCGCGCGGCAUUAGCUAGUUGGUAAGGUAACGGCUUACCAAGGCAACGAUGCGUAGCCGACCUGAGAGGGUGAUCGGCCACACUGGAACUGAGACACGGUCCAGACUCCUACGGGAGGCAGCAGUAGGGAAUCUUCCGCAAUGGGCGAAAGCCUGACGGAGCAACGCCGCGUGAGUGAUGAAGGUCUUCGGAUCGUAAAACUCUGUUAUUAGGGAAGAACAAAUGUGUAAGUAACUAUGCACGUCUUGACGGUACCUAAUCAGAAAGCCACGGCUAACUACGUG